rnacentral:rRNA from 1 species
GGCGAACGGGUGAGUAACACGUGGGUGAUCUGCCCUGCACUUCGGGAUAAGCCUGGGAAACUGGGUCUAAUACCGGAUAGGACGAUGGUUUGGAUGCCAUUGUGGAAAGAAUUUCGGUCUUGGAUCGGCUCACGGCCUAUCAGCUUGUUGGUGAGGUAAUGGCUCACCAAGGCGACGACGGGUAGCCGGCCUGAGAGGGUGACCGGCCACACUGGGACUGAGAUACGGCCCAG